CAUCCGGRCCCUGAGACAGGAGCUCCAUCCGGGCCCUAGGGGGCGCCAUCCUGACGCGGAGCUGCGGUUCUUCACCCGGUUCAAACUCAACGGUUACCUAGCAACCGAAUCGGUCUGAUCCAGAACCAGCAGGACUUUAGUGCUGCGUUGGUGCUGGUUCGGGCCGGAUGUUCUGGGUUCUGGACGGAAGUGGGACCUAAAGGAAGGCGUCAUACUGACCACAGCCAGCAGGUGGCCUCUGGUGGGCAGCCGGCGGUUAUGAGGGAUCUUCACUCGGUCUCUGGUCAGGUGAGACAGCUGGGAGUCGUCCACCGUCACCUAGAGGAGCAGAACCCGAGGCUCAGGUCAAACCGGGCCAAAUGGAAGGCGGUUCUGUUCUGGUUCUGCUGGUACCUCAUCCAGGAUCCGGUUCUUGGCUCUGGUGAUGGCUGUGUUCAGGACGUUGAUCCAGGAGUCCUUCUCCUCCGGGCUGACGGCCAGGAACACCUGGUUGGGCACCUGCAGSACAGGAGGCACCUGGUCAGGGGGCGGGGCUACUGUCCACAGUCCAGCUGAAGCUGCUUCACCUGGUUUGACCCCACCCACCUGAAUGAUGUCAUGAUGGACGCAGCGCCGUGCAGGUGACUUACUUCUAAUGCUAACUGCUGAUGCAACCAGCGCUGCACAAUAAAU